AGAGUUUGAUCAUGGCUCAGGAUGAACGCUGGCGGCGUGCUUAACACAUGCAAGUCGAACGGAGACAUAUUUUGAAGUUUUCGGAUGGAAAGAUAUGAUCUUAGUGGCGGACGGGUGAGUAAUGUAUGAGCAACCUACCUUUAAGAGGGGGACAACAGUUGGAAACGACUGCUAAUACCGCAUAAUACGAAUUUGUCGCAUGACAGAUUUGUCAAAGGAGCAAUCCGCUUAAAGAUGGGCUCA
rnacentral:rRNA from 1 species